AACGAACGCUGGCGGCAUGCCUGACACAUGCAAGUCGAACGAGACCUUCGGGUCUAGUGGCGCACGGGUGCGUAACGCGUGGGAACCUGCCCUUAGGUUCGGAAUAACUCCCCGAAAGGGGUGCUAAUACCGGAUAAUGUCUUCGGACCAAAGAUUUAUCGCCUUUGGAUGGGCCCGCGUUGGAUUAGCUAGUUGGUAGGGUAAAAGCCUACCAAGGCGACGAUCCAUAGCUGGUCUGAGAGGAUGAUCAGCCACACUGGGACUGAGACACGGCCCAGACUCCUACGGGAGGCAGCAGUGGGGAAUAUUGGACAAUGGGCGAAAGCCUGAUCCAGCAAUGCCGCGUGAGUGAUGAAGGCCUUAGGGUUGUAAAGCUCUUUUACCCGGGAUGAUAAUGACAGUACCGGGAGAAUAAGCGCCGGCUAACUCCGUG
rnacentral:rRNA from 1 species